rnacentral:ncRNA from 2 species
AACGAACACGGCAAUGGAUUCUGCCGGACCAUGCUGGUCGAACCGCUGCCCGCAAGGGCGCUGAUGAUUCCUGCCCACUG